rnacentral:rRNA from 1 species
UACGAAGGGGGCUAGCGUUGUUCGGAUUUACUGGGCGUAAAGCGCACGUAGGCGGAUCGUUAAGUCGGGGGUGAAAUCCUGGAGCUCAACUCCAGAACUGCCUUCGAUACUGGCGAUCUUGAGUCCGGAAGAGGUGAGUGGAACUCCUAGUAGUAGAGGUGGAAAUCGUAGAUAUUAGGAAGAACACCAGUGGCGAAGGCG